ensembl:snRNA U6 U6 spliceosomal RNA
GUGUUCAUUUCAGCAGCACACAUACUAAAAUUGGAGCAAUACAAAAACGAUUAGCAUGGCCCCUGCACAAGGAUGACAUGCAAAUUUGUGAAGUGUUCCAUAUUAAU